CGGGAUUAAUACCGCAAUAAAAUCGUAAGAAACACAUGUUUUAACGGUCAAAGAUUUAUCGAUCAUAGAUGGGCUCGCGUCUGAUUAGCUAGUUGGUGAGAUAACAGCCCACCAAGGCGACGAUCAGUAGCCGGUCUGAGAGGAUGAACGGCCACAUUGGAACUGAGACACGGUCCAA
rnacentral:rRNA from 1 species